GAUGAACGCUGGCGGUAUGCUUAACACAUGCAAGUCGAACGGUCACUUCGGUGAUAGUGGCGGACGGGUGAGUAACGCGUGAGAAUCUGUCUUCAGGUCGGGGGCAACAGUUAGAAAUGACUGCUAAUACCGGAUGUGCCUUUGGGUGAAAGAUUUAUUGCCUGAAAAAGAGCUCGCGUCAGAUUAGCUAGUAGGUGGUGUAAGAGACUACCUAGGCUCCGAUCUGUAGCUGGUCUGAGAGGACGAUCAGCCACACUGGAACUGAGACACGGUCCAGACUCCUACGGGAGGCAGCAGUGGGGAAUUUUCCGCAAUGGGCGAAAGCCUGACGGAGCAAUACCGCGUGAGGGACGAAGGCUUUUGGGUCGUAAACCUCUUUUCUCAAGGAAGAUGAUGACGGUACUUGAGGAAUAAGCAUCGGCUAACUCUGUG
rnacentral:rRNA from 1 species